rnacentral:lncRNA from 1 species
NCGGGGCAUUGAUGACAUCCUGGAGGAUUAGAUGGAGCCCGAUGGUAAGAGGCGAACUUUUUUUUUAAAUCUUUUUUAAUGUUUAUUUAUUUUUGAGAGAGAGAGAGAGAGAGACAGAGCACGAGCAGGGGAGGGGUAGAGAGAGAGGGAGACGCAGAAUCCGAAGCAGGCCCCAGGCUCCGAGCGCUCAGCACAGAGCCCGACGCAGGACUCGCACUCACGGACUGUGAGAUCAUGACCUGAGCUGAAGUCGGACGCUCAAGGGACUGAGCCGCCCAGGCGCCCCGAGUCAAACUUCUUGAUGGGGGGGAAGAGGAGACUGAGGUUCUGGACUCCUAGUCCAAGGAGGAAGGGGUUGGGGUCUGGAGUCCUGGGUCCUAGAGGUUGGGGACUUAGACGUCUGGAACCGAGGAUUAACAGAGUGGCGUCCGGAUCUCUGCCUGCCUAAGUUCACACUCCAUUCCUUCUGCAGACCAGCUGCCCCCCAUCCCCCUGGACUUCCCCGGCUCCUUCGACGUGCUGUCCCCCUCCCCAGACUCUGAAGGCCUCUCAUCUGUCUUCUCCUCCUCGCUCCCGUCCCCCACAAACUCCCCGUCGCCCUCUCCCAGGGGCCCCACGGAUUCCUUGGACUGGCUGGAGGCUCUGAGUGGGGGUCCUCUGCUAGGCUGUGGUCCCCCAGCCCCCAGCGUCUUCUCUGCUGACUUAUCUGACCCCAGUGGCACCCGGCUGUGGGACCUGCUGGACGAUCCGUGGUGAUGGAUUCUGGGGCUUCCAAAGAGGGGGCACUGGUGGGGAUGGGAAAGUCACAGAGGCAUACUCCCAAGGGAGGCGGGGGACAACCUGCAGAGCCCCUCCCACCAUGGACACAGAAUCAGAGAACACUCUCAUCCCCACGUGGCCCCUGAACGGCUGCUGACAUGCCGUCGGCCAGACUCUUGUCUGCCUGACCUCCGUAUGAUCUCCUCCAUGGCUGUGUGGUCCGUGUCCUUUGCUGCUGGCCAGGGCCAACAAACUGCUU